GGAGCAGAGCGGCGAACGAGGGCGUCGGCCAUUUUGUGUCUGUUUCCUGUGGGACGCGGUGGUGGCCGUUGGGUCGGAAGAGUGAGCGAUUUUUGCCUCGUUUUUCCUGUUAGUUUUCUCCCCCUUUCACUUUGUCGGUAGAGCGCAGUUAUGGGUCGCAAGAAGAAGAAGCAGCUGAAGCCGUGGUGCUGGUAUUGUAAUAGAGAUUUUGAUGAUGAGAAGAUCCUUAUACAGCACCAAAAAGCAAAACAUUUUAAAUGCCAUAUAUGUCAUAAGAAAUUGUACACAGGACCUGGCUUAGCUAUUCAUUGCAUGCAGGUGCAUAAAGAGACAAUAGAUGCUGUACCAAAUGCAAUACCUGGGAGAACAGACAUAGAAUUGGAAAUAUAUGGUAUGGAAGGUAUUCCAGAAAAAGACAUGGAUGAAAGAAGACGACUUCUUGAACAGAAAACGCAAGCAGAGAGUCAAAAAAAGAAGCAACAAGAUGAUUCUGAUGAAUAUGAUGAUGAUGACUCUGCAGCUUCAACUUCAUUUCAGCCACAGCCUGUUCAACCUCAGCAAGGUUAUAUCCCCCCAAUGGCACAGCCAGGACUGCCACCAGUCCCGGGAGCACCAGGAAUGCCUCCAGGCAUACCUCCAUUAAUGCCGGGUGUUCCUCCUCUGAUGCCAGGAAUGCCACCAGUUAUGCCAGGCAUGCCACCUGGAUUGCAUCAUCAGAGAAAAUACACCCAGUCAUUUUGCGGUGAAAACAUAAUGAUGCCAAUGGGUGGAAUGAUGCCACCUGGACCAGGAAUACCACCUCUGAUGCCUGGUAUGCCACCAGGUAUGCCCCCUCCUGUUCCCCGUCCAGGAAUUCCUCCAAUGACUCAAGCACAGGCUGUUUCAGCGCCAGGCAUUCUUAAUAGACCACCUGCACCGACAGCAACAGUUCCUGCUCCACAGCCUCCAGUUACUAAGCCUCUUUUCCCCAGUGCUGGACAGAUGGGGACACCUGUAACAAGCUCAAGUACAGCUUCAUCCAAUUCAGAAAGUCUGUCUGCAUCUUCUAAAGCUCUGUUUCCUAGCACAGCACAAGCUCAGGCAGCUGUCCAAGGACCUGUUGGUACAGAUUUCAAGCCUUUAAAUAGUACCCCUGCAACAACUACAGAACCCCCAAAGCCUACAUUCCCUGCUUAUACACAGUCUACAGCUUCAACCACUAGUACAACAAAUAGCACUGCAGCUAAACCAGCAGCUUCAAUAACAAGUAAGCCUGCUACACUUACAACAACCAGUGCAACCAGUAAGUUGAUCCAUCCAGAUGAGGAUAUAUCACUGGAAGAGAGAAGGGCACAGUUACCUAAAUACCAACGUAAUCUUCCUCGACCAGGACAGGCUCCCAUUGGUAAUCCACCAGUUGGACCUAUUGGAGGUAUGAUGCCACCACAGCCAGGCAUCCCACAGCAACAAGGAAUGAGACCCCCAAUGCCGCCUCAUGGUCAGUACGGUGGUCAUCAUCAAGGCAUGCCAGGUUACCUUCCUGGUGCUAUGCCACCGUAUGGGCAGGGACCGCCAAUGGUACCCCCUUACCAAGGUGGGCCUCCUCGACCUCCGAUGGGAAUGAGACCUCCUGUAAUGUCGCAAGGUGGCCGUUACUGAUCUUACUUCAUCCAAUCUAAUAGCCCUGCCAUAGGACAGGCUGAGGCUGAGUCUCAGUGUUGCCCUGUUCAGUCUGAGCAGCAGAAUUUCAGCAUUUGCUACUUACUGGUAGAGAAGAAAAAUCCCACAGCCCUGCCAGUACAGGUUAGUUUAAUCUGUAAGUACCUGAUGUUCCUAUUUUUUUCAAACAUAUCCAUAUAACCCACACAAGGAAGAAAGCUGUGCAGUUACUUAAAUGUGAGUAUAACUAAUAAUAGAUCCAUUGGACACUUUUAAACACUCAGUUCUUGGGCCAAAGUAGCUCUAGGUUUGCUAAUAACCUCAGUUGUAAGAGAGGUGUAUUACUGCUCCUUUAUAUCUGGUUGUGGUUGACCCUAAAUAAAUACAUUGUACAUAAAAGGAAAAGAUGGUGAAAGUUUCAAUUGGCUAUACACACGUGUUGGCAUGUGAUCUGGAGUGCAGGGCUUUGGGUCCAGGCUCUACUGAAGCCACUCUCAUGGUGGUUACUCAUACUUACCUUUUAACUUUUUACAGUAUGAAUCAACCUAAGAAAAAAGUCAAGUUUCCUUACCUCUAGCAGUGAUAAAUGGUGUGCAGUCAUAAGCUAGAAAAUGUUUUCAUACUGUGUAUUUUGUUAAAUGUUUGUAGUAGCUCUUGCUGUAAAUAAGUACUAAUUUUGUUCACCUUUUUUUGUAAACUAUAACCUAUUCUGUUGUUGCACCACCACUGUGGGCUCAUUUUACUUUGAAUUAAGAAUAACAAAACUUUUUAAUAUUCAAAUGAAAACUGACUACCCAUCAAGAAACCUAGACAAAUUCCUUGUAUGUUCCUUUUGAGGGGCAGUAAGGUCAUAAUGGCUUGUAAAAAACAUGUUAAGGUUUUUAUUACUGUCAUUGGUUCUAUCAGAAUUCAUUGUUGUCUUGAACCAUCUUUGAGAGUUUCCUUUAACCUUUAAAUAUUAUGCUUUUGUGUUGCUAAAAAUUUUAAAUGCAAAGGUAAAAAGAAUAAAGCAUACAAUUUGGUUUUCACAAGCCUGAACCAUCCUUCAACUCUGUAGCAUUGACUAGGAUGCAUGGCUACCUCCUUUACACCCUAAGUGUAAUGAUGUCUAAUUUGAGAACAUCUAUCCAUAAAACUAGUUGAUCUUUUAUUCCUAUUAAUUGGGGGUGGUGAUUAGCCACUGAAAACAGACCAUCUUAGUGUUAUUUUGUUUGAAAGUCAUGCAUUUAGUUAAUUAAAAAUCUCAAUAUAUCAACUGAUAAUAAAAUUUUAAGAUAUCCACUUGUUUUUUUAAUAUAAAAUUGCCUAAGGGCUUAAGUUUCGUUGCCUUUCACAGUUUAAUCUAUAUAAGAAAUGGCGUAGAUACAGUGGAAAUGGUUUUCCUUAAAACCAUCUCUAUAAAGCUGCCUUUCUGGUGAGUACUAUUUUAUACUUAUAUGUCACAAUUUUUCUUUUUAAGUUUAACUGAAAUGGGAUACUGAUCAAAGAAGUGAGCAAUCUGAAUUUGUACACUCUUUAGAUAAUAUCUGAAUCAGAAAUGUAUUUUAUUUAAAAGUUGAAUAUUUCACUUCCUGACAUUUCCCUAAUAAUCCAGGAUCACUUUCUGACUUUGACUUAACAGACUAACUGGAAAACCUAUUAACAUAUAAAUUGUUUCCUUUUAGUGAGAUGGAAAAAAUGUUUUUAUUCAGAAUUAUCUAGUAUUUUUACAAAUAUUAAGAUUUUCCUUUUAGCUAACAACCAAAAGUGUUUUCUCAAUGCUUUCACUUCCCACACUGCAUAGGUAUAAAAGUUAAAUAGCAGAAUUUGUCUGUUCUCCGUGAAGCUGUUGUUGCAGUGAUUCAUGAGCUAUUAAAGCCAAGGGUAGAGUUGAAGAAGGACUUGCCUGAAAUGUUCCUGCAGACUAAUGCUUUACAGGAUUCCCUUUGAAUGAGCUUAAAAAUUUCAAGUGUAUUUUUAAAUCUCUCUAACCUUGCAUGGAAAAUGUGGAUUAGAAAUGCUGGUUUCUGAGACUGUGUAUGCCAGCAGAAAUUAGCCUCUGGGUAUAUUUCUAAUUACUUUAUGCCCUGUUCAGUACUUUCCUUCAGUGUAACACAUGGAUUUUUUUCCUCUUUAGUCUUAAACCACAUCCUAGAUGAUGUCAAUAUAAGCUAAGGAUGUUUUCAUAUUGUAUUUCCUGCUGUUAUCUUUGUAAACCAACAAUGAACAGUAAGCUCCUAAUACUUUUUAGUAUGGAAAAUGGUAGUCUUCUCUAAAAUAAACCUGAAAAUUGAUGUCUUGAGUAUGUGAUAAUGGUGAUGUAUUCUUCUAGAUAAGCACUAAACAAAGUAUGGACCCUCAAUUUAUGUCUUUAAGAUUUAAAGUGAAGUAAAUUUCUAAGGAAUUCUGUCCUUUCCUAGCAAGGAUAAGCAGACAUUGAAAAUGUGGUAAGUAUGUAACUGUGAAUGCAUGUAAUAGUGGUGAGAGUAAGUAGCCAAAUUUCCAUAGCAUAAAAAUAACUUAGACAUAAACAAGAUUUCUUGAAUUUCCUUUGCGACUUAAUGUAUGUGUGUCUAGCAUUUUUACAAAUUUGUGUGCACAAUGAUUAAAUUGGAAUGUACCUUA